CCUACGGGUGGCAGCAGUGGGGAAUAUUGCACAAUGGGGGGAACCCUGAUGCAGCGACGCCGCGUGGGUGAGGAAGUACUUCGGUAUGUAAAGCCCUAUCAGCAGGGAAGAAAAUGACGGUAACUGACUAAGAAGCCCCGGCUAACUACGCGCCAGCAGCCGCGGGCAGAAGUAGGGGGCAAGCGUUAUCCGGAUUUACUGGGUGUAAAGGGAGCGUAGACGGCGUGCCAAGGCGGAUGUGAAAGGCCGGGGCUCAACCCCGGGACUGCAUUGGAAAAGGGCAUGCUGGAGUGCCGGAGGGGCUAGCGGAAUUCCUAGUGUAGCGGUGAAAUGCGUAGAUAUUAGGAGGAACACCGGUGGCGAAGGCGGCUUGCUGGACGGUAACUGACGUUGAGGCUCGAAAGCGUGGGGAGCAAACAGGAUUAGAUACCCCGGUAGUC
rnacentral:rRNA from 1 species